AACGAACGCUGGCGGCAGGCCUAACACAUGCAAGUCGAACGAGAUCUUCGGAUCUAGUGGCGGACGGGUGAGUAACGCGUGGGAACGUACCCAGAUCUACGGAAUAGCCUUUGGAAACGAAGAGUAAUACCGUAUACGCCCUUCGGGGGAAAGAAUUUCGGGGAAGGAUCGGCCCGCGUUGGAUUAGGUAGUUGGUGGGGUAAUGGCCUACCAAGCCGACGAUCCAUAGCUGGUUUGAGAGGAUGAUCAGCCACACUGGGACUGAGACACGGCCCAGACUCCUACGGGAGGCAGCAGUGGGGAAUCUUAGACAAUGGGGGCAACCCUGAUCUAGCCAUGCCGCGUGAGUGACGAAGGCCCUAGGGUCGUAAAGCUCUUUCGCCAGGGAUGAUAAUGACAGUACCUGGUAAAGAAACCCGGCU
rnacentral:rRNA from 1 species